CUUCUUGUAAUUAAUCGCUGAAAUAAUUUGAAAAUAAAUAGGCUGUAAAUGGAAAUAAUUGAUUGUGUUCUUUAUUGUUAUGCAAUUAAACGAUGUAUUGAAAAUAUGUAUUGUUUAUAAAAUAUAUGUGAUCAUAUUUUGAUAUGCAUUUUAGAUAUUUUGAAUCGAGUUUUAGCUUGAUGAAAAUAACUAAAUCAUAGGAAAAUUAUUUAUUAUAAACUAGAGAAAUAUGUUCGACAACUGAUUUUUAGGAUAACUUAACUGAAAAUUAUGGCAAAUUGAACAUAGCAUUCUUCCGAUCUUUUAAAAUGUGUUUUCUCGCGCCAGACAUUGUAUGUAGUUCAGAACUUCAGCUAUCUGCCGUUAGGUUGCAGCACUCUUUAUCUGUUCUUUGAAACAGAGAGAAAUAUAUUUUUCUAUCUUUUUAAAAUAUCUUUUCAUCUUUUAAUCUUGAAUUAUUAAUAUAAAUAUCAAAUAUAUUAAAAUUUUAUAUGCAACAAAACAAUCUUGAUAAAAAUAUUUUUCAAUUAAUAUAUAUUUUAUGAAAAACUUAUCAGGAAUAGGUAUCAAUUAUACCAACAGAAAAUUUACAAAGAUUUCCUCAGAUUCUUUUGUUCAAAAUGACUUAUAUAAUUUGUUUAUAUAAAUAUUUAAAUAUCUUUUAAAUUAAUUUUUCCAUGUUCAAAACUUCUUCGAGAAAAAAAUUAAUUUUUCUUCUUUUUUUAUUUCUGAAUUACAUUCAGCGCCACGGUGGCGCUUCGAACGCGUUUUCUCUUCCACGAAGCAUAGUCUAAUUCUAUGCCCAGUCCCCAUAUGUCACUUCAAUGGGCCAAGGAAAAAAACGUAACAAUACGUGGCACGGGGUCUAAAAACAUCAUCGAUUUUCUUUCUUUUCUCCAAUGAAAUUGCGACGACUUCGACAAUACGAACACCCGCUAGAAGAAUAAGCGUGUAUACGAGUCGAGGUGCACGUAGUAUUCUCAGCACUCAUGUCGGCCCCUUCGUUUAUCCGCUUCCAAUUCCUGCACCCCUCCACAGCAAGCCACCCUCACUCUUUUCUCCCAACAAUCCUUUACCCUCUCUUUCUUAAAACCACUCCUCAUUUGGCGUGUGCGUUAGAGAACCGUGGCGGCGCUGUCGGCGCAGCUUCCUUCUUCCCCUUCGCACCACGCAGCGCCACUGAGAACGAGGCUUGAACUGGCUCUGGCUCCGUCUAUUGGCAGCGUUGCCAAGUGUCCUCGACCAUCUGUAACCGUUCCUCUCCUGUUUAUUGGUUUAAUAUUCAAUACGGCUUGUGAGUCCGAUGUGUAACAGGCUAUGUAGGUGCACAUUCAAGCAUGCAUGUACAUGUAUUGAGAACUAUAUAAUUGUGUACGUCAUGCUCUCCUCGCUAAUAUGCCCUCUGUCUAUUCUCUUUCUCGCAUAAUCUCUGUAUCCAUUUCCAUCUUCUUUUCGCCCUUUCUUUAUUGUAUUGCUCGUUCACCAGUUCACUCGUCGAGUAGCAUCAACCUUCUUUUCCUUCUCCAUCUCUUUCUUCUCUUCCAUUUCUGCGCUCUUUCUUUAUCCUUUCUACAUGCCUUUACCACUGAAUCCGUAUAAGUGUUGCGUACGUUCGUAUAAGUGUGCUCGCGCAGACGAGCCGAUGCGCAUAGUCAGGGGUUAACUAUGUAUAGUCGGAUAAUAGAGUUUGUCGAGUCGACAUGCGCCCUUCUUGGACCAAGGUGCCGGCCUUGCCCCAUAUUUCUUCGAAAUGGCCGGAGAGUCGAGUGACGUUCGAUAUCUUCAGCGUAGACGCGACGACGGAGAAGCGUCGCCAACAAUAUUCAUGCUAUCGCUCAUUCGACGAAACAUUGAUUUGUGUAUUACGUCAGCCCGAUGAUGCUCGGUGCGUGAAGUGCUAUUGAUUCGCCCCGUAGGCAGCAUAGACAACCAUAUUCAAUUUUCAACCAUGCACUACGGCUGGUGUGUUCGAACCAAAACGAUGUUUCAUCGGUCGACCCAGCUGUCAGGUCGUUUAUGGCGAAAAGAGAGAAUCACCCUACGGUACUAAGCAAGUCGUCGAGAGUCGACUCAUACUAAUUUACGAACACUCUAAGAUCCUCUUUUCUCGUAAAACAAUAGAUGGAUUUCCAAUUCGCCGAAAAUGAAUUUUAGAUUAAUCGGAGAAAUUUAUUAUCAUCUGCGGAGAAUAUUCUUCAAGAUAUAUAUUUCGAAUAUUGUUUUCGUAAUUAUUAAAAAUAUAUCCUUCUUUAAUUAUACAUUUAUGUAUAUUUAUUUAUAUAUUUUUCGAUUAAAUUUCAUUA